rnacentral:misc_RNA from 1 species
GUUCAUUGGAAUUUAAAAUUGCCAUCAAAAUAGUUUCUUUUGCUCCAGAAACAUACUUCCCCACUAAAUUCAUCUUACUCAUUUCGUCAAACAACUUAUCUGCAUCUCUUACUCUCUUUUUCAUGGAAUCCAGUACCUCAUGCCCCUCUUUAGAUCCCAACACAAUCAGCAACCCUCAGAAAAUAAAAAACAGGACAAUCAAUGAUAGAGAGAGGAAAACAAUGGACACAAACAACUCUGUUUCUUGGUCUUUGACUUGUUGUGAAUGAAAGAGCUGAGAAGCAAUGGACACAUAACACUAUGUUUCUUGGUCUUAUACUCGUCGACCGAGAUGGCUAGAGUGGUGGAGAUGGAAAUGGCGUCGUUGGAGUGGGGAUAAAUGCAGCGGGACUAGUGGGUAGUUGCCAAAUCUGGGUUUGUUUCCUUUAACAUAUGGGUUUCUCUUACACUGGCAGAGGCCCCUCCUCU